rnacentral:tRNA from 1 species
ACCUGGCUGGCUCAGGUGCUAGAGCAUGUGACUCCUGAUCUCAGAGUCAUGGGUUUAAGACCCAUGGUGGGUA